UACGGAGGGUGCAAACGUUGCUCGGAAUCAUUGGGCGUAAGGCGCACGUAGGCGGUUCGAUAAGUCGGAUGUGAAAGCCCUGGGCUCAACCGAGGAAGUGCAUUCGAAACUGUCGAACUUGAGUACGGGAGAGGGUCGCGGAAUUCCCGGUGUAGAGGUGAAAUUCGUAGAUAUCGGGAGGAACACCAGCGGCGAAGGCGGUGGCCUGGACCGAUACUGACGCUGAGGUGCGAAAGCGUGGGGAGCAAACAGG
rnacentral:misc_RNA from 1 species